rnacentral:misc_RNA from 1 species
GAUGAAGAACGCAGCAAAAUGCGAUAAGUAAUGUGAAUUGCAGAAUUCAGUGAAUCAUCGAAUCUUUGAACGCACAUUGCGCCCGCCAGUAUUCUGGCGGGCAUGCCUGUUCGAGCGUCAUUUCAACCCUCAAGCACAGCUUGGUGUUGGGACUCGCGUUAAUUCGCGUUCCCCAAAUUGAUUGGCGGUCACGUCGAGCUUCCAUAGCGUAGUAGUAAAACCCUCGUUACUGGUAAGCGUCGCGGCCACGCCGUUAAACCCCAACUUCUGAAUGUUGACCUCGGAUCAGGUAGGAAUACCCGCUGAACUUAAGCAUAUCAAUAAGCGGAGGA